CGGUUUCGGCUGUCACUUACAGAUGGGCCCGCGGCGCAUUAGCUAGUUGGUGAGGUAACGGCUCACCAAGGCGACGAUGCGUAGCCGACCUGAGAGGGUGAUCGGCCACACUGGGACUGAGACACGGCCCAGACUCCUACGGGAGGCAGCAGUAGGGAAUCUUCCGCAAUGGACGAAAGUCUGACGGAGCAACGCCGCGUGAGCGAUGAAGGCCUUCGGGUCGUAAAGCUCUGUUGUCAGGGAAGAACAAGUAUCGGAGUAACUGCCGGUACCUUGACGGUACCUGACCAGAAAGCCACGGCUAACUACGUGCCAGCAGCCGCGGUAAUACGUAGGUGGCAAGCGUUGUCCGGAAUUAUUGGGCGUAAAGCGCGCGCAGGCGGUUCCUUAAGUCUGAUGUGAAAGCCCCCGGCUCAACCGGGGAGGGUCAUUGGAAACUGGGGAACUUGAGUGCAGAAGAGGAGAGCGGAAUUCCACGUGUAGCGGUGAAAUGCGUAGAGAUGUGGAGGAACACCAGUGGCGAAGGCGGCUCUCUGGUCUGUAACUGACGCUGAGGCGCGAAAGCGUGGGGAGCGAACAGGAUUAGAUACCCUGGUAGUCCACGCCGUAAACGAUGAGUGCUAAGUGUUAGAGGGUUUCCGCCCUUUAGUGCUGCAGCAAACGCAUUAAGCACUCCGCCUGGGGAGUACGGCCGCAAGGCUGAAACUCAAAGGAAUUGACGGGGGCCCGCACAAGCGGUGGAGCAUGUGGUUUAAUUCGAAGCAACGCGAAGAACCUUACCAGGUCUUGACAUCCUCUGACAACCCUAGAGAUAGGGCGUUCCCCUUCGGGGGACAGAGUGACAGGUGGUGCAUGGUUGUCGUCAGCUCGUGUCGUGAGAUGUUGGGUUAAGUCCCGCAACGAGCGCAACCCUUGAUCUUAGUUGCCAGCAUUCAGUUGGGCACUCUAAGGUGACUGCCGGUGACAAACCGGAGGAAGGUGGGGAUGACGUCAAAUCAUCAUGCCCCUUAUGACCUGGGCUA
rnacentral:rRNA from 1 species